rnacentral:rRNA from 1 species
UACGUAGGGUGCAAGCGUUAAUCGGAAUUACUGGGCGUAAAGCGUGCGCAGGCGGUUAUGUAAGACAGAUGUGAAAUCCCCGGGCUCAACCUGGGAACUGCAUUUGUGACUGCAUAGCUUGAGUGCGGCAGAGGGGGAUGGAAUUCCGCGUGUAGCAGUGAAAUGCGUAGAUAUGCGGAGGAACACCGAUGGCGAAGGCAAUCCCCUGGGCCUGCACUGACGCUCAUGCACGAAAGCUAGGGGAGCGAACGGG